rnacentral:rRNA from 1 species
UACGUAGGGUGCGAGCGCUAAUCGGAAUUACUGGGCGUAAAGCGUGCGUAGGCGGUUCGUUAAGUCAGUUGUGAAAGCCCCGGGCUCAACCUGGGAAUUGCGGUUGAAACUGGCGAACUAGAAUCUGGCAGAGGGGGGUGGAAUUCCACGUGUAGCAGUGAAAUGCGUAGAGAUGUGGAGGAACGCCGAUGGCGAAGGCAGCCCCCUGGGCUGAGAUUGACGCUCAGGCACGAAAGCGUGGGGAGCAAACAGG